AGUGAACGCUGGCGGUAGGCCUAACACAUGCAAGUCGAACGGCAGCACAGUAAGAGCUUGCUCUUACGGGUGGCGAGUGGCGGACGGGUGAGGAAUACAUCGGAAUCUACUUUUUCGUGGGGGAUAACGUAGGGAAACUUACGCUAAUACCGCAUACGACCUACGGGUGAAAGCAGGGGAUCUUCGGACCUUGCGCGAUUGAAUGAGCCGAUGUCGGAUUAGCUAGUUGGCGGGGUAAAGGCCACCAAGGCGACGAUCCGUAGCUGGUCUGAGAGGAUGAUCAGCCACACUGGAACUGAGACACGGUCCAGACUCCUACGGGAGGCAGCAGUGGGGAAUAUUGGACAAUGGGCGCAAGCCUGAUCCAGCCAUACCGCGUGGGUGAAGAAGGCCUUCGGGUUGUAAAGCCCUUUUGUUGGGAAAGAAAAGCAGCAGGUUAAUACCCCGCUGUUCUGACGGUACCCAAAGAAUAAGCACUGGCUAACUUCGUG
rnacentral:rRNA from 1 species